UCCAAGGGUUCCUGGGCAAGGCUAAUCCUCCCAGGGUAAGUCGGGAGCUAAGGCGAGGCCGAGAGGCGUAGUCGAUGCACAACCGGUUGAUAUUCCGGUACCACCGUGUCCGCGCCCAUUCCAAUUCAGAGUUGCUAAGGGGAUGCCCGGAGGUUUACUUCCGGUACGAUCCGACCCACUCCGAGGCGGAAAGCUGUAGGGGGACGCAGGAAGGUAGGUGAUCCCAGGCGAUGGUUGUCCUGGGGUAAGCGUGUAGGGAGAAGGUUAGGCAAAUCCGACCUUCAUAUAUCCUGAGACGCGAUACCGAAGCCGUAUGGCCUAAGUCACUGAUCCUAUGCUGCCAAGAAAAGCCUAGCAGCGAGUUGGCACGGUGCCCGUACCCCAAACCAACACAGGUGGAUAGGUAGAGAAUACCAAGGCGAUUGGGAGAACUGUGGUUAAGGAACUCGGCAAAAUGCAUGCGUAACUUCGGGGAUAAGCAUGACCUCGUUAGGGUGAAGGGGACUUGCUCCCGGAGCUCGAAGAGGUGGCACAGAAUUGGGGGA
rnacentral:rRNA from 1 species